AUGUGUGUGGCUGAUGGACAAGCGAAAUCUGUCUGCGAAAAGUGGAUGUUUCCAUGUGCACCUGGACCUUGUGAAAAAAGGCUGGUUGCCUUUGUUACCAGGAGGAAAAAAAAAAAGAACUACAACAAAAAAACAGCUCUAAGUGGGAAUGGAAGUGAAGGGUACAGGAGGGAGAGCUGCCCAGGUCAGGCAGACAGUCAUUGCAGGGAUGGUGCCCACGUGUUGCCUACUCUCCAGCGUGGGAGAUACAGAGGUUAAAACCCACGUUGCCUCACUAUCAGCACUGGCUGUGUGCUGGUCACCCUCUGUCGUGUGUCUGGUUCAUGCCUACAUCCCUGGGUUCCCUUGACAGUAAAUCCCAGUGGAGGAAACUGCUCAGAAGGACUAUGGCACCUUGCUUAGAAAAAUGAAUCAGAAUAACAAGAGAAAACAGCUUGGUGCUUCACUGGAAAUGGGAGGGGAUUCUCCAUUUGCAUGCUCACAUCAGAGUAAGCCUGGGAUGGCUGAAGUGAGCAAAUAUCCUUGGCAUCACCAGCGCAGGGCUGUGAGAGCCUGUGCUGCAAUGCAGUGAUGUAAAGGGCAGCUGACAAGGGUCAUACAGGGCUAGAGCAUUGCCCAAAUUCCCCCUUGGCCCCACCACUGUUAAUUCCCCCCCAGCUGCUCUUCUGCUUCCAGCAGCUGAAUGUCUUGAAGUUUGACACACGCAAUGAGCGCUGCCAACUACCUGAACAUAAUGAAUGUGUUUGGCAGGGGGAUUGGGAGAGCAGCGUGGCCUCCUAGGAAACUGGGUUUUAUCACACAUCUGUCACCACAGAGAGGAAGCAUUCAGCACUGAAAUCUCCAUGCUUGUUUUUCUUCCCCUUCACCAGUUAUAUCCUAUAAGCAAAUGAUACUUCCAAAAAAACUUAUUAAAGGAAAAUACAAAACACUGUGAAACAGGUUUUAGGUGAAUAUCAAGGGAGCUCUGUAAAUUGGCAGUCUGGUAGAGGUGACUCUGUACUCACAAGACUUACACAGCCAGAAGAGCAACCUCCAGCUCUGGAUUCGGGAGGCUGGGACUCCCAUGCCUCUGUCCCAAGGACCCUGCUGCUGCUGUCCCACCUGCAGAGCUCUGUGGACCUGCUCAGCUCCCUGCAUCAGCCUCUAACAACAUCCCACAGGAGGGGAAAAAACACACAACCCGUGGAGCCAAGCAGCGUCAUGGAAGGAUGAAACUUAUGCAAACAGAGAUCCACAAAAAAACAGAAUUAAUAAAAUAUAUCCUGCCCAUGCA
rnacentral:lncRNA from 1 species